AGUCGCCUACGGGGCGCAGCAGUGGGGAAUAUUGCACAAUGGGGGAAACCCUGAUGCAGCAACGCCGCGUGAGUGAAGAAGUCAUUCGUGAUGUAAAGCUCUAUCAGCAGGGAAGAAAAUGACGGUACCUGAGUAAGAAGCCCCGGCUAACUACGUGCCAGCAGCCGCGGUAAUACGUAGGUGGCAAGCGUUGUCCGGAUUUACUGGGUGUAAAGGGCGUGCAGCCGGGAGUGCAAGUCAGAUGUGAAAUCCCGCGGCUCAACCGCGGAACUGCAUUUGAAACUGUGCUUCUUGAGUGCUGGAGG
rnacentral:rRNA from 1 species